AUUAAAAAAUGUCGACGAAUGAGCGACAUCAGAUGGAAAAAAAACAUUUCAUGUAGCCAUCAGCCCAUUACCAAUUUUCCAACAAAUUUUCACAGCUAUAUCUAUUUAAUAAUGGGUUUUAUACCAAAUUGCAUCCAUCUGACAACUGUAUAAAUUGUAUGCAAUCAUAAUCCAACGGAUAUUCUAUGCAGACGAAAGACGAAACCUUACCAAGCCUUCUGCUUCCUUACCAGUGCUCGUAAGGCAGUAAUGUUUGCCCAUAUAUUUGCCAAGGCUUCUUUUAUGAAAUAAGAAAUCCAAAAUGUAUUACGUAAUAAACCGAGAGAGAUCUACCACCGUGGUAUUGCAAAAAAGAAUCUAUUGACUAACAGUGAGUCGAUACAUCCAUUUCUCUGGCUGCAAGAUCGAUAAUUGUAACGUCUUACUUAUUAGACAACUGUUACCAAUAUACGGUACAUCAUACAGCGAAAACAAAACCCCCCAAAAAAUAAAUUAAAGACACCAAAACGGAAAAUAAAAGCAGAGUUGACUGUUGAAAGAGAUCAUUGCCAAGUUUUUUUUUUUCCCUACAAGACAAGAACAAUGGAACACAAAAGUUAAUUCUAGAUGCACAUCAGAUCCCACAGAGAUUCUUUCAUUUCUUCGCUCUUAGCACAAACAUAAUGCGAUAGCCAAAGGCGCUAUGACUGGAAAGAAAAAAGAAAUAUGAUAUGAUUGACGUUGUGCAGUGUAACACGAGUGCUUGAUAGAAAAAAGGUUUGGAAGUAAUUUAAAUAUACCAUGAUUUGGGAGAUU